rnacentral:rRNA from 1 species
GACAGAGGGUGCAAACGUUGUUCGGAAUUACUGGGCGUAAAGCGCGUGUAGGCUGCUCGGAAAGUCGGAUGUGAAAGCCCUGGGCUCAACCUAGGAAGUGCAUUCGAAACUUCCGAGCUGGAGUACUGGAGAGGAAGGCGGAAUUCUCGGUGUAGAGGUGAAAUGCGUAGAUAUCUGGAGGAACACCGGUGGCGAAGGCGGCAUCCUGGACCAACACUGACGCUGAGGAGCGAAAGCCAGGGGAGCAAACGGG